rnacentral:rRNA from 1 species
UACAGGGGGUGCAAACGUUGCUCGGAAUCAUUGGGCGUAAAGCGCACGUAGGCGGUCUGUUAUGUCGGAUGUGAAAGCCCUUGGCUUAACUGAGGAAGCGCAUCCGAAACUGGCAGGCUAGAGUACUAAAGAGGGUCGCGGAAUUCCCGGUGUAGAGGUGAAAUUCGUAGAUAUCGGGAGGAACACCGGUGGCGAAGGCGGCGACCUGGGUAGAUACUGACGCUGAGGUGCGAAAGCGUGGGGAGCGAACAGG